AUAAUUUUAAAAGAUGCCUUAGCAGAUUAUAGGUGCUUGCCUUGAAACCUGAAAUCCUGAGUUCAAUACUCAGAACUCACAUGGUACAAAUAAAGAAUCAAGUACUCCACAUUGCUCUUUAACCUCUGUGUACAUAUACUAUGGCAUGUGUGCCCACCCACAUCAUGCACACACACAUACACACAUGUAACUACAUACAUAUAUACGUUCUCAAAUAAGUAAUGUGGAGAUAACUGGACCUCCUUACUUCAAAGAUUAUUGUAAGGAAUAUGGAAGGACAGUUAGAAUAUUGCUUGGUGCAUGGCAAGAGAUUUGUGUUUGAAUAUGGUUUAUUGGCCUCAGACAAGUGUAGAAUCAGACCCUCACCCUUCCUUAUCCCUGCUAUGACUGUGACCAUACGGCAUCUACAUAGACCUUUCCCAUGACCAGAGCCUGUGAAAGGGAAGCUUGGUGGAGAAGGCGCUACUCAUGGGCAGACUCUGGGAUUUGGGGCUUGGCGAUGCCUCCUAAUCACCAUCUACAGGUCUAUUAUCUUUCUUUACAGAAAGCAGAGUUAAGAUAAAAAUGAGAUAAGGGGGAAAGUACGGCAAAUACAGACUCCUUAAACACAUUGAAGCAGCUGUACAUAAACCAGGAAAUGACCCUUUCCUAACACAGAAUCUUAUUUCUUUUUUGUAUGUUGUAUGGAAACGCAUGUCAAUGUUUUCCAGUAUUUUAUCAUCUGUUAAGUUAACCCAGAAACCAGAAACCAGCCACCAGCUACCAUAACAUAUCCCUGUCAUGUCUUGCUUCCCCCCCCCCCUUACAUCUCCCAAGAAAGUGUAUUUGUCUGAAUUGCGGAGAAGAUGCACCUUGAGGCUGACAUCCAAGCACCUGCAAACUGAUGGGAGAGGUUGCUAUGCUGCUGAGCUGCACACUCUGCCUGAGCAUCCUCAGGCAAGGGAAGAAUUUCAAUGAAAAUGGCAACAGGAGUUCAUUAUUUUUCCAAGUUCUUUCCCAGUAAAUGUGAUCAUGGUUCCUGGGGACCUCCCCUGCCUUUGACACUAGUGGUAGAAUUAGAGUAACCUUUAGGAACAAGAGAUUGGCAGCCCAGCUCUCCUUGGCCAGGUCCAAUUCAAUGGAAGAAGUAUUGGGCUAUGUCUUUCAGCAACUGGUACUUGCUGAACAUCAUGUAAAGAAAGGGUAGGGGCUCCUUACUGAACCUAGGGAUUAAAAUAGGAAAAAAGGAUGCAUGUGGCAGCUACAUUGGCUUUAUACCUGCUCUGUGACAGAUGGAAGACACUCAUGAAGUAAAAAUCCCAGAAUUCUGUCCUCUUUCUCUAUACAAAAAUACCCAUUUCCUCGUGGCUCCUGGACUAUUUUUAAUGAUUAUGGCAAAAAUAACUUACAGUUUUGGGGUCUUAGGUCUUAUAAUAUGUUCUUUGGUAAUACUUUUGAUAAUUCUUCACCUUUUUGUUUGGCCUUGAAGUUUUGUGUACUUUUAUUACAAAUUGCAAUACUUAAACAGAGGUGGAAAUGGUGAUUUCUGUUGAAAUUAUGCAGUAUAAUAAAGUAUCCCAUUAUUUAAUCUGAGAAAUACAUACAAAGUUCUAGGUCUAGAGCUAUACAUAACUAAAGUCCUUAAAAGAAUAAAAAUGAGGGAAUAGGUUGUCAUAACAACAGAGAUCCUGAUUUCCUGUAGGUUACACCACAAAAAUAAACCUUUAUGAGACUUUACUAUUUUGUCUACACUGUAUUUCAGCCAAUGGCCAUUUUGUAUAUUCUUUUGCUGAAGAAUUUGCCUUGCUGUUUUUCCUUAAGAUUUAGUUUGUUUGAACGUGUUUUCAAUCCAGCCUUAGGAUGCUAAACUCACAUUGUGGCCCUCAUAAGAACAAUUUUAACACAUUGUUUUUAUACUUUAAAAUCACUCAGAUUUAUACCAUAUUAAGAACAUAAACACAUAGAAUGUAAACAUUCUACCAGAAAUUUGACAUUGACUCCAUCUUUCCAACUGCUUUCAUAUGAAAGCCCUUUAUUUACAAACAACACACAAUCUGUGUUAUGUCUCACCGUGUAUAUUUAGCAACUAAUGUUCCCUUGUGCUUUCAAGUUUGAAGCUUUUUAAGACAAGGUUAAUACUAUUAUUUUAUAAAUUGCCACAAUUAUUUGACUCUGAUAGGUAAUUUCUGAUACUAAAGGUCCUAUAAAUUUCUUUGUAUUAGAAUGUAUAUCAGCAAUUAAUUCUUUAUCAGUGAUUCCUAGAAUAAGGAUAAACCCUUUCACCUAUUUUGAUAUAUUCUACUAUUUGGGUCCAUGAAGCAUAUUCCAUUUCUACCCUUCCUCACAAUUGCCCAGUUCCUUGUAUGCUGGCCUUUGCUAUCGAUAUUUUACCAAAAUGCUAGGUAAAUAUGUCCUUGUUAACUUUCAGUUUUUUAUUAUAAAGAAGGAAUUGAUCACGCUAUCUUUUCUUAUCUCUGAGCAGAGACUUUAUGUUCGUAUCCAAUAAUAGUUUUUUUUUCCAGUAUGCUAAAAUUUUGUUCUCCCAAGCUAAAUGACUAUGCAUAUAAAGUUAUGCAAUCUGUUUCCUGUUAUUUGGAUAACAUGUGUUUCUCAUUCACCGGUAAAUAGAUUUAGAAGAAAAUCAUAAGUACACCAGUAGUGGGUACUUAAAUGGUACUGUAAUAUUUGGCUAGCUGAAGAGACCUAGAUCAGGGGCUGCCCAUGUAGGACAUGUGGCUUAUGUAAAAGAGACACAUGACUGUUUCUUUAUAUAUAUUUUUAUGAAAAUAAUUUUUCAUACAUUAUUGCCUCAUCUCCUCCCAGAUGAUACCAGUCUCCUCCUGCAUCCAGUUCCAUGCCGCCUUUCUCUCCUUUUUUAGAAAAAACAAAAACAAAAACAAAACAAACAAACAAAAAAUCCUGUC
rnacentral:lncRNA from 1 species